rnacentral:rRNA from 1 species
GAUGAACGCUAGCGACAGGCCUAACACAUGCAAGUCGAGGGGUAACAGGGAGCUUGCUCCGCUGACGACCGGCGCACGGGUGAGUAACGCGUGUGCAACCUUCCCACAGGAUCGGGAUAGCCCUCCGAAAGGAGGAUUAACACCGGAUGUGGUAAUUUAGAGGCAUCUUUAGAUUACUAAAUGCGAAGCUUGUGGAUGGGCAUGCGUGACAUUAGCUAGUUGGCGGGGUAACGGCCCACCAAGGCGACGAUGUCUAGGGGUUCUGAGAGGAAGGUCCCCCACACUGGUACUGAGACACGGACCAG